GUGCACGCUGGCGGCAGGCCUCACACAUGCCCGUCGAGCGGCAGCGCGGGGGCAACCCUGGCGGCGAGCGGCGGACGGGUGAGGAAUUCGUCGGAAUCUGCCUUUUUGUGGGGGAUAACGUAGGGAAACUUACGCUAAUACCGCAUACGUCCUACGGGAGAAAGUGGGGGACCGCAAGGCCUCACGCAGAAAGAUGAGCCGACGACCGAUUAGCUAGUUGGUGGGGUAAAGGCCCACCAAGGCGACGAUCGGUAGCUGGUCUGAGAGGAUGAUCAGCCACACUGGGACUGAGACACGGCCCAGACUCCUACGGGAGGCAGCAGUGGGGAAUAUUGGACAAUGGGCGCAAGCCUGAUCCAGCCAUGCCGCGUGUGUGAAGAAGGCCUUCGGGUUGUAAAGCACUUUUGUCCGGAAAGAAAUCCCUGGAGCUAAUACCUUCGGGGGAUGACGGUACCGGAAGAAUAAGCACCGGCUAACUUCGUG
rnacentral:rRNA from 1 species